UCUGAAAGCGGGACACCGAAAUCUCCCACCACCGCGGAGGACCGCCGCAGGAGUGAGCGCUCACACGCCCGCCGCGCAGGGCGAUGAGGCGGCGUCCAGGAGCCCUCUUUCAUCUCCUUAACCCCCAGAACCCUAUGCUAGCCCUGAAUCCCGAGACGAGGAGGUCCGCGGGAAAAUGUCUCUUCGUGCAACCCGAACACUUCCAAUUCGGAAGGAGGAGGUGGAACUUGAACUUUUCCUCUGGGAAGAAGCCCCUGCGGGCUGUUCUUUCGCCCAGGGUACUCCUAAUCGCUUCCCAGAGAUAGCGCUGGGAAGCUCCAGGCUGCGCCCAGGGUCUCUCGCGCCUUCUAGCCGCCCAAGCAAAGAAGUCUAGCCGGGUAGCUCCCUCGUCCCCUGCACCGGACACAAAUCGCAGGCCUAGCAGCUUUGGGAAGGGCCCAAGCUGAACUCUCACCUCCUCUGCUCCUGUAACCCGGCCCUAGCCACGCUGGGCACGCAAGACAAAGGAGCUUAAUGUCUGAAAACGGGGGUGGGGGGGCAGUGGAGGGGAGGAGGAAUCCUCCAGAGGUGUAGCUGAGAAAAAUUGGCCACCUACAGAGUGGACAGGCAAUAAAACCCACCCAACAUUUC